CUGGGCCGUCCCUGCGCUAAUUGUGGCCCAUAUGAUUUAUUCAAACGUGUUUGGCAUUUGCAAAGGCUGAAAUCAAAUUAAUUAUAUCUAAUUAAGCAUGUUCUUUAUGGAUUUAAGCAAACAACUUAUUAACCAAAAAUAGUUCAAACCACUGAAUAAUUAUCCUAAAACAGCUGUGUAUUUGGCACAUACUUGUAAACAAAAUAAACUGAUAUACUAGAAUCAUUACUACUACAUCAUUAGUUCUUUAAACUAGCAUAUGAGAGAAGGAAUUUACCAUUUAAACUGUUACAGACUUAUAUCCAUUUAGAGAACAAUAAUCCUUUGGAUGCUUCUAAUGAAGACUACAUAUACCAGUUAAUAUACUAAACUACACCUAAACAAAUUCGAAAACUUUAAGACUUAGUUUCAUUUCUGCUUCUAGUUUCACCUACAAAUGUACCACUAUCGAAAUGUGUACCUGAUACUUGGAAACAAAGAAGAAGAUGAGAGUCAGUGAUGGCAGUAACAGUAUCACAGCAACAGAUUCAGCAACAACAAUUUUAGCAACGCAAAUAGAACAAAUAGUAAUAGAAGGAACAACAACUUAGAAUCCAGCAAAAACUCAAAACCAGUUUCAAAAAAAUCACGCGGCCAAACAGACUGUACUCAACACAGAAACAACACUCAAAUGUUUUGAAUACCCAAAUAUAGAACAAAAAACAAGAGAUUCUGACUAUUUCUGCUCUUAAAACUGACGUAACAGUAUCUCUGAGUAAAACAUCUAUUUCAAAGCACUAUUCUGGUUUUCAAGAGCUUAUUAAAACUGAAAUUCAGUUGUAGAUUGAAAACAAUGGACCAAUUCUUUUCUCUCUAAGAUUUUUCUGAUUUCAAAAACUGCUCCUUCAACUGUUCUGAAAUGAACUCUUAUAUACAACACUGAACCCCCUUUACAACCUGUUUUUGCACUUAGCUAAUUAAUAGCUUAUCAAUCCCAUGUUAUUCUCUUUGUUUUUCCAAUCACAAAUUCAAAAGAAGUAUAUUCCAUGAUAGCCCACAUGUUUCUUUCUUUUUUUUAAGAUUUUAAGACAAACACUCAUUCUUAUACCCUUUCAGAUGUAAUUCUUUUCAGUUUUUUAAAGUCUAAAGUGCCUGUUUUAUUCUGUAGACCACUAGUGAAUGUCUAAGCAUUAUUUAACUCAAUUAAGCAUGGACAAAAAUGAGUUAAUUAAUUCAAAACAGGUUUGACUAACAUGGCUUCCAUUCAGUGGAUUGAUUUGAAUUCGGUAAUUUAAUAAAUCCUCAACUUCGAACGUCAGAAUGAUAUAGAUAAACCAAUUCACAAUUAAAUCCAAACAACUGACUCAAUCAGAAAAUGAAUUAAAUUGCAUCAGGUUAUUCUCACAUUCAAGACUGUGAAACUAAUCGACGAUACUUAUUUAGUCGACUAUAUAUUACAACAUAUAUAAUUGAUAACAAAUAAUCGACAUACGAACAGGGGAUUCACAGCUUUCGGACAAAAAAGGGAAUUACGAAUCUAAAUAUUCGACGAUAUUAAUCGAAUCGAAUAUGUAUUUUAUAACAACCACAAUUUGUAACAAACAGAAACAACAAUCGACCAAAUAAAAGGCUUAUGGAGAAGAAACAGAACGUUGGAAAAAAUAGAAAAAAUAACAAAACAAAACUAAUAACGGAUAUUAAUAAAUAAAAAUAUAAGAAAGGAAGAAGAAGUACCUCAAAAGAAAAAUCAGAAAUCAAAUGAACUUGGGACCAAUUUCGGACUUGGAACUCUUGAGUCCAAACAGACCUUAAUCGAGUGUUCUCAACUGAGAACACUUCGACUAAGGUCUAUCGAACACCCAAAACUCUUCAAUUUGGACAGAAAUCCAGGCUCGGGUUUCCUAGAGUUUUUGGGCUCGGAUUUGGGUUCGAGUGGUUUGGGUUUGAAUUGAACUAGACCAGCUAUGGUUUGGUGACGAGGGAGGCUAGGGAAGGCUAUAGUGUGAGUUUGGGACCAAUUGGUACUGUUUUGUAUUUUGCUCGAAUCUUCUGAAGAUUCGAGAAGCUACGGGAUGAUUCGAAGUGAACGAUUGACGGAUUCAGGUUGGGGGUGGGCUAGUGGCUUUAGGGUUUUAUUUUGGGGGCUAUUGGAGUGGUUGCCGCUAGCUUAAGGGCGGUAGAGUACGCCGGCGGCGCUAGGGUUUCGAGGGAAGUCUGUUUGGCUUGGUCUCUGAGGAAGAGACGAAGGGGAGAUGAUUUGGGAAUGAAGUGGUUUGGAGGAUUCGGGGGUUAUGGGUAUAUUGAAAGCUAUCAAUUAAUACGAGCCGUUGGA
rnacentral:lncRNA from 1 species